ACAGGUGCUGCAUGGCUGUCGUCAGCUCGUGUCGUGAGAUGUUCGGUUAAGUCCGCUAACGAGCGCACCCCUCGCUGUGUGUUACAAGUGUCACACGGUACUGCCGGUCUUAAGCCGGAGGAAGGUGGGGAUGACGUCAAGUCAGCAUGGCCUUUAUGUCCUGGGCUACACACACGCUACAAUGGCCAACACAAUAGGUUGCUAAGCCGCGAGGUGGAGCCAAUCCUCAAAGUUGGUCUCAGUUCAGAUUGCAGGCUGCAACCCGCCUGCAUGAAGAUGGAGUUGCUAGUAAUCGCAGAUCAGCGCGCUGCGGUGAAUAAGUUCUCGGGUUUU
rnacentral:rRNA from 1 species